GUCACUUUGCCGGAGUGGUUAACGGGAUCGCCUGCUAUAAACCACGAAGAACGCGUUGGUAUAUACGAAAAGCGGUUGGGCUUUGCCCGCGAGUGUUCGAAUCGCUCAGGUGACG